UACGAAGGGGGCUAGCGUUGCUCGGAAUGACUGGGCGUAAAGGGCGCGUAGGCGGACGGCUUUGUCGGGCGUGAAAUUCCAGGGCUUAACCUUGGGGGUGCGUUCGAGACGGGUUGUCUUGAGUGGGGAAGAGGGUCGUGGAAUUCCCAGUGUAGAGGUGAAAUUCGUAGAUAUUGGGAAGAACACCGGUGGCGAAGGCGGCGACCUGGUCCUUGACUGACGCUGAGGCGCGAAAGCGUGGGGAGCAAACAGG
rnacentral:rRNA from 1 species